GGGCCUUCACCAGGAGCUUCUUCUGGAAGCUCUAUGUUCAGGGAAGUGGGGUGGAGCCACCUCGUUACACCAACCCUCUGUUCAUUAUCUCUGAGCUCAGAAGGGAUAUGUUUCCUCCCGUGGGCUUCUCAGCAUUUAGAAGGGGCAGCUCUUCUGGUUCCUGGAUGUGCCUUUACUUUCAACUUCUGCGAUUUCUCUGACUUGGAUUUCUAGUUCAUGUGUUUUUUUUGUUGUUUUAGAGUAUGUUUAGGAACAGUUACCUUUGAUUAGACAAACAUGCAUUUUUUUCUAACUCGGUAAAUCCAUAUUAAUAGAAUUCUUGGACAUUGAAAAAUCAACAUGACAUUUGGCCAUAGCAAUGUGUAUCUAGCAAUUGUAUCUAAUAUUUACAAAAUCUGUAUGUUUAAUUUUGCCUGGUACACAGAUGACUGUUUGACGAAAUGAAGACCUGUCUGCUCUCUACUUAUUCCUCUCCAUUGUCUCCCCUUGUAAGAGUUGAGUAGGGUGGGUGUUGUAGUGCAGCACAUUAAGCUUCCAUGUUGGAUGUAGGUAUUCCAUAUUGGAAUGUCUGAUUCCAGUCAUGUUUACUCUAUAUCCUAUCCAGCUUCCUACCAAUAGGCUUGAAAGACAAUGAUGAUGGCCUAAAUGCUUGGUUUCCUACCAACUAUAUAGGAGACCCAGGUGGAAUUCUUGGCUUCUGGUUUUGGCCUAACCUUGCCUAUCCCUGGAUAUCCUGGGCAUUUGGGGGAGUAAAUCAACAGAUGGAAGAUCUCUCUUCCUUUUUCUUCUCUCAUAUCACCUCACCUCCCAACCAGGUCCUUAGGUAUCUGACUACUUUUCCCACUGGAUAAGUUAGCUGAUGACAUAUUGACAACCUGCAGAACAACUUUGAAUUCAUGAAAGUGUUUCACUCCUCUACACGUGUGCCUUCCUGCUGCCUGGCUGUGAAGCCAGAGCCUCAAUCUUGAAGAGAUUGUAAAUAACUUGGAAGAGGGAUCCAAGGAAGAGAUAUUCUUACUCAUAACAACCCUAGAAAGCUAAUGGCUCUCAUCUUACACUUAAGGAAACCAAGAAGCAGAGGUCCAGCAAUGUCACAUUACCUUCUGAAGGUCAUGUGGCUGGUACAUGACAAGGUUUAGAGUUGAGUUUGGGUCUCUGAUUUCCAAGUCCAUGUCUCUUCCAUUUUACCAGCCUGGCUCUUGUGUGGGUCCACACGUGAGAGAAACCACAAGGAUGAAUACUAGGUCGCACCCAGUUGAGGGGGUGAUGAGGUCAUGGCAAAUCCAGGCAUGCUAAUUUGUUUUCAUUCUUCCUACCUUUUCCUGUAUCUCCCAAGGGUCUGGCCUCUUGUCUGGGCUCUGGCUUCCAGUUGGGUCUGGUGAAGCACCUGCAGGAGACCAUGGUCUAUGGAAGACAUAAAGUCAGGCUCGAGUGAUACCUGCUUCCUUGAGGCCAGUCCCCUCCAUAUCUCACGGUUCCUCUUGGGCUCCUCAGACCCAGCCCGCUCCUUUGUACAAGGUCUUUUGAGUUGCCUUUGAGGUGCUACCUGUUUCCUGAGAACACAACUCACCAGUUCAUGCCCUGUGCAGGUGCCCGCAGUAGCUGGAACUUAGAUUCACUGAAGUUGGGCCCUGGAACUGAGUGUUCUUUGUGGGUGACAGCAGCUCAGUCUCUUGAGCCAUCAGCAUUGCCUCCCGGGAGGCUGGAGUCGGGAACUGAAC